rnacentral:rRNA from 1 species
AAUAGAUACCCAGGUAGUCCACGCCGUAAACGAUGUCGACUUGGAGGUUGUUCCCUUGAGGAGUGGCUUCCGGAGCUAACGCGUUAAGUCGACCGCCUGGGGAGUACGGCCGCAAGGUUAAAACUCAAAUGAAUUGACGGGGGCCCGCACAAGCGGUGGAGCAUGUGGUUUAAUUCGAUGCAACGCGAAGAACCUUACCUACUCUUGGCAUCCAGAGAACUUAGCAGAGAUGCUUUGGUGCCUUCGGGAACUCUGAGACAGGUGCUGCAUGGCUGUCGUCAGCUCGUGUUGUGAAAUGUUGGGUUAAGUCCCGCAACGAGCGCAACCCUUAUCCUUUGUUGCCAGCGGUCCGGCCGGGAACUCAAAGGAGACUGCCAGUGAUAAACUGGAGGAAGGUGGGGAUGACGUCAAGUCAUCAUGGCCCUUACGAGUAGGGCUACACACGUGCUACAAUGGCGCAUACAAAGAGAAGCGACCUCGCGAGAGCAAGCGGACCUCAUAAAGUGCGUCGUAGUCCGGA